AUAGGUCUUCUCUCACCACCAUCAGGUGGAACGUGGAAAACUUCUCGUGGUUCUUCUCUUGUUGGCAGAUUUGCACUUAAGAGAGAGAGCACCCCUUUUGAUUUGUUUGCUGUUUUAUGUUGAAAUAUAUUAAGGCUUGCAUGUUAUCCUGUUGGUUUGUAAGUGUUGGGGGAGUUUGUAGAGAGCCUGUGUGCUUUGAUCGUCAGUAUAGGAGAGGGAGAGACGUCUAUUGAAGCUUUUUGCUAGGACUUAAAAUGGGAAGGGCUACCCGUAAGGC
rnacentral:misc_RNA from 1 species